GACGAACGCUGGCGGCGUGCUUAACACAUGCAAGUCGAACGGAAAGGCCCUGCUUUUGUGGGGUGCUCGAGUGGCGAACGGGUGAGUAACACGUGAGUAACCUACCCUUGACUUUGGGAUAACUUCAGGAAACUGGGGCUAAUACCGGAUAGGAGCUCCUGCUGCAUGGUGGGGGUUGGAAAGUUUCGGCGGUUGGGGAUGGACUCGCGGCUUAUCAGCUUGUUGGUGGGGUAGUGGCUUACCAAGGCUUUGACGGGUAGCCGGCCUGAGAGGGUGACCGGCCACAUUGGGACUGAGAUACGGCCCAGACUCCUACGGGAGGCAGCAGUGGGGAAUAUUGCACAAUGGGCGGAAGCCUGAUGCAGCAACGCCGCGUGUGGGAUGACGGCCUUCGGGUUGUAAACCGCUUUCGCCUGUGACGAAGCGUGAGUGACGGUAAUGGGUAAAGAAGCACCGGCUAACUACGUG
rnacentral:rRNA from 1 species